UACGGGGGGAGCAAGCGUUGUUCGGAUUUACUGGGCGUAAAGGGCGCGUAGGCGGCCACCGCAAGUCAAUUGUGAAAUCUCCGGGCUUAACUCGGAAAGGUCAACUGAUACUGGCGGGGCUAGAGUGCGGGAAGGGGCAACUGGAAUUCUCGGUGUAGCGGUGAAAUGCGUAGAUAUCGAGAGGAACACCUGCGGCGAAGGCGGGUUGCUGGGCUGAUACUGACGCUGAGGCGCGAAAGCUAGGGGAGCGAACGGG
rnacentral:rRNA from 1 species